rnacentral:lncRNA from 1 species
UCUGCUGUGAUUCCUUGUUUAAAAAAAAUAGAAUCCAACUUUUAUUGAUCAGGAAUGACCCCUGGAACAAACUGAAGAGAAAUUGUGAACUAAAUUUCUGGAUUCCAUGUCAGAAUCUUUCAUAAUAUUGGCCAAUACAGUCAAAUCAUACAAUAACUGCCAAUCAUGCUGGUGCCUCAAUCCCUUAAAAUCUGACAAAGUCAAAAGAUGAAGCUAGUAAUAUACAUCAUUGGCCCCUUGCUUUUACACAAAAUAAGGUUGAUUUUAAUAGCGCGCAAAAGUGACUAAAGCCCUCAAAAUUCUAGCUUAAACCCUGGUAAU